UACGAAGGGGGCUAGCGUUGCUCGGAAUCACUGGGCGUAAAGCGCACGUAGGCGGCUUACUAAGUCAGGGGUGAAAUCCUGGAGCUCAACUCCAGAACUGCCUUCGAUACUGAGAGUCUCGAGUCCGAGAGAGGUGAGUGGAACUGCGAGUGUAGAGGUGAAAUUCGUAGAUAUUCGCAAGAACACCAGUGGCGAAGGCGGCUCACUGGCUCGGUACUGACGCUGAGGUGCGAAAGCGUGGGGAGCAAACAGG
rnacentral:rRNA from 1 species